GAAACGUUCGGGCAGCGGUGCACUGCAUCCCGGCCGCCUGGUUCCGCGGGAUUACCCGCUGAACUUAAGACUAUUCAAUAAGCGAGGAAAAGAGACCAACAGGGAUUGCCCCAGUAACGGCGAGUGAAGCGGCAACAGCUCAAAUUUGAAAUUUCUUGGGGCCCCCAGGGACCCCGAAGGGGUUUUGUUUAAAUUUUGCAGAGGAUGCUUUUGGCGCGGUGCCUUCCGAGUUCCCUGGAACGGGACGCCAUAGAGGGUGAGAGCCCCGUCUGGUCGGACGCCUAGCCUGUGUAAAGCUCCUUCGACGAGUCGAGUAGUUUGGGAAUGCUGCUCUAAAUGGGAGGUAUAUGUCUUCUAAAGCUAAAUACCGGCCAGAGACCGAUAGCGCACAAGUAGAGUGAUCGAAAGAUGAAAAGCACUUUGAAAAGAGGGUUAAAUAGUACGUGAAAUUGUUUGAAAAGGGAAGCGCUUGUGACCAGACUUGGGCCCCGUGGAUCAUCCAGCGUUCUCGCUGGUGCACUCCGCCCGGUUCAGGCCAGCAUCAGUUCGCCGCGGGGGAAAAAGGCUUCGGGAACGUGGCUCCUACGGGAGUGUUAUAGCCGUUGCAUAUACCCUGGCGGGACUGAGGUUCGCGCAU
rnacentral:rRNA from 1 species